CGUGGGUAACCUGCCCAUCAGAGGGGGAUAACAUUCGGAAACGGAUGCUAAAACCGCAUAGGUCUUCGAACCGCAUGGUUUGAAGAGGAAAAGAGGCGCAAGCUUCUGCUGAUGGAUGGACCCGCGGUGCAUUAGCUAGUUGGUGAGGUAACGGCCCACCAAGGCCGUGAUGCAUAGCCGACCUGAGAGGGUGAUCGGCCACAUUGGGACUGAGACACGGCCCAA
rnacentral:rRNA from 1 species